GACGAACGCUGGCGGCGUGCCUAAUACAUGCAAGUAGAACGCAGUAGCGAACGGGUGAGUAACGCGUAGGUAACUGCCUCAUAGCGGGGGAUAACGAUUGGAAACGAUAGCUAAUACCUCAUAGUGUGAGCUGGACCUGCGUGGUAUUAGCUAGUUGGUGAGGUAAAGGCUCACCAAGGCGACGAGACAUAGCCGGCCUGAGAGGGGGAUCGGCCACCCUGGGAAUGCGAAACGGCCCCGAACCCUACCGGAGGUCGCAGUAAGGAAACUUCGGGAAUGGAAGGAAGUCUGACCCGGCAACGCCUGGUGAGUGAAGAAGGUUUUCGGAUCGUAAAGCUCUGUUGUUAGAGGAGCGGUAACUAACCAGAAAGGGACGGCUAACUACGUGCCAGCAGCCGCGGUAAUUC
rnacentral:rRNA from 1 species